AGCCCGUGAGUUGGGCAUUGAAGUAGGAGCUUCUUAAACCUCACCCACGUUUCAUGGAUGGGUUCAUCCUCCCAUUGCUUGAAACCUUGAAUGUUAUCUCUAAGUUU
rnacentral:snoRNA from 1 species